ACAAUGCGGGACUAUCAGUCUUGCAAUUGGAUUGAGAACAAUGUACAACUCUUAUCGAUAAGCCAUUGGAGGGCAAGUCUGGUGCCAGCAGCCGCGGUAAUUCCAGCUCCAAUAGCGUAUAUUAACGUUGUUGCAGUUAAAAAGCUCGUAGUUGAAGUGUGGGUGAUCGCUGUUGUGAGACUUCGGUCUCUCGACAGUAAGUCACCCCCUUCCAGUAUCCAGUAGUGGGUAUUCAGUUACUUACUAUUGUGUGUUGGUCGUUUACUGUGAGAA
rnacentral:rRNA from 1 species